rnacentral:rRNA from 1 species
UACGUAGGGUGCGAGCGUUAAUCGGAAUUACUGGGCGUAAAGGGCGCGCAGGCGGUCCUGUUUGUCGAGUGUGAAAGCCCCGGGCUCAACCUGGGAACUGCGCUCGAAACGGCGGGACUAGAGUUCGGGAGAGGAGAGUGGAAUUCCCAGUGUAGAGGUGAAAUUCGUAGAUAUCUGGAGGAACAACCGGUGGCGAAGGCGGCAUUCUGGACCGACAUUGACGCUGAGGAG